rnacentral:rRNA from 1 species
AUUGAACGCUGGCGGCAGGCCUAACACAUGCAAGUCGAGCGGUAGAGAGAAGCUUGCUUCUCUUGAGAGCGGCGGACGGGUGAGUAAUGCCUAGGAAUCUGCCUGGUAGUGGGGGAUAACGUUCGGAAACGGACGCUAAUACCGCAUACGUCCUACGGGAGAAAGCAGGGGACCUUCGGGCCUUGCGCUAUCAGAUGAGC